CCACUGUGGCAAAUGAUCGCGGCUUUCGCAAAUGCGGAAGGUGAGGAAAGUCCGGGCUCCAUAGGGCAGGAUGCCGGAUAACGUCCGGUAGAGGCGACUCUAAGGCUAGUGCAACAGAAAUAUACCGCCAAUGCUGCUUGCUUGCGGGCAGCAUUUGGUAAGGGUGGAACGGCGGUGUAAGAGACCACCGCCUCCAAGGUAACGAGGAGGGCACAUGUAAACCCCAUCCGGAGCAAGACCAAACAGAGAGCGACAGAUUUGCCCGAUCUGCUUUCAGGUAGGUCGCUUGAGGCUGCCGGUAACGGCAGUCCUAGAUAGAUGAUCAUUCUUUGUGCAAAUGCACGGUUGUGCAGGCACAAUGACAUAACCCGGCUUAUCGCCGCGGUGGCAAU
rfam:Lachnospiraceae bacterium COE1 genomic scaffold acPFN-supercont1.3, whole genome shotgun sequence.